rnacentral:rRNA from 1 species
UACGUAGGGGGCAAGCGUUGUCCGGAUUUAUUGGGCGUAAAGAGCGUGUAGGCGGCCAGACAGGUCCGUUGUGAAAACUCGAGGCUCAACCUCGAGACGCCGAUGGAAACCGUCUGGCUAGAGUCCGGAGGAGGAGAGUGGAAUUCCCGGUGUAGCGGUGAAAUGCGCAGAUAUCGGGAAGAACACCCGUGGCUAAGGCGGCUCUCUAGUACGGUACUGACGCUGAGACGCGAAAGCGUGGGGAGCGAACAGG